GGUGUGCUCCUGCACAGACCCGUGUGUAAGCCCAGGUGUGCCCAGGUGUGCCCAGGUGUGCCCAGGUGUGCUCCUGCACAGACCCGAGUGCAAGCACAGGUGUGCCCAGGUGUGCCCAGGUGUGCCCAGGUGUGCUCCUGCACAGACCCGAGUACAAGCACAGGUGCGCCCAGGUGUGCCCAGGUGUGCCCAGGUGUGCUCCUGCACAGACCCGAGUGCAAGCACAGGUGCGCCCAGGUGUGCCCAGGUGUGCCCAGGUGUGCUCCUGCACAGACCUGAGUGCAAGCACAGGUGUGCCCAGGUGUGCCCAGGUGUGCCCAGGUGUGCUCCUGCACAGACCCGAGUGCAAGCCCAGGUGUGCCCAGGUGUGCCCAGGUGUGCCCAGGUGUGCUCCUGCACAGACCCGAGUGCAAGCCCAGGUGUGCCCAGGUGUGCCCAGGUGUGCCCAGGUGUGCUCCUGCACAGACCCGAGUGCAAGCCCAGGUGUGCCCAGGUGUGCCCAGGUGUGCCCAGGUGUGCUCCUGCACAGACCCGAGUGCAAGCCCAGGUGUGCCCAGGUGUGCCCAGGUGUGCUCCUGC